rnacentral:tRNA from 1 species
UCCGGUGUAGCUCAGUUGGUUAGAGCGCUAGACUGUUAAUCUGGAUGUCGGAGGUUCGAGUCCUCUCACCGGAGCCA